rnacentral:lncRNA from 1 species
ACAGCCUGACAGUUCUGCUCAUGUUAUGCAAACAUGGCCUAUAUGUGGCCUAUACAUACAAGGGAAAAUUGUUCACUGGCAAACAAAAGGGAGAAGCCUGGCUGCUAACCUGCAACUUGUUUUUUCAAGGGUAGCCACAUUCUUAAACUACAACACAAGAACUUUGCAAGACGGAGUAGCUCAUAGGUUGUAACACUAACUACCUGAACUGCAAGGAAUUCAAGCUGUGGCGUACCGUACUGUGGUUACCAAUCACUGAAGGUUGAUAAUGGAUGAGCACGUUUGAUUGUCUCAUGUUCUUCAUGUACAGUUGUUGCUGCUGUUGAUAGUUGCGGUUUAUAGGCCGUUCCAUCCACCAGAGGCAACCUGUAUACUUCAUCAGUUUCCAUCAAAACUUAACUGGUUAUUGAUCUGAGGAAGGUAAGUGCCAAGAUACUGAUAGAACAUAGGGCCUGUUUGGUAGAGCUUCAAGAGGUGGAGCUGGAGGUGGAGCUGUGACAAACAGACCCAUAAUAGAAGAAUAGAACUGCUGCUGCUAUAUAUUUUUUACAGGAAAGGUUGAAAAGCUUUUUUGAAAGCAUAAGAGCCUUACAGGUUUACUGCUGGGGGCUCCAGCUUGUCUAUACAUCACAGGGCACCGACAUCCCCAAAGCACCUGCAUGCUCAAAGCUACAUUAUAGACAUCACAAAACACCUGGCUAAGGCUAAAGUGACAACCACAAAUAAACGGUAACCAAAGACAAAUCGCAACCAACUCCAGAUCUUGAUAGUCCUCAAAUUUUGUCCAGUGCCUUGGAUCACCAUGAUCAGAGCUUCCAUUUCUUCUGCUUCAGAUGACUUCAGUAAGAUC